rnacentral:lncRNA from 1 species
UUUCUGUUUGACUGGCUUUGUCCUCGUUAUAUUUAGUUUGUUAUUGCCGACCACACUAUGACAUGAUUACCGUUAUCGUUCAAAUUAUCGGCCCGUUCGACUGUUACCGUGUCGAUUAUUUCGUCUCGUUUUUGCUGAUUUGUCUUUUGUCUGAGUGAUGCAUCGCUCUUCGCGCUUUGUACCGCUGAGAGGGCUUUUGCAUCGUGCUUUCUCGGAUGGAUCAGCCUUGACGAAGUCGUGUCGCUCUUAUAGACCAUGCAUUCAUAAUCACUGAAGAAGGCUCGAAUUAAGUCCGAAACGUUUGGAAUAAAGCGAAUGAAUCGUUAAAAUUGAAUCACUGCUUUGGAAAUUAUUUUAUCCACGCCCCACAACUGCAUUGGCUCUUUAUUGCCUUUCAUUAUUCAUU